GCAGAGUAAGUAUUCGCGAGUCACGUGCCGGUGAAACGGGGAGUUGUUCAUUGGACGAAGCAAAUUCUUUGCGCUGUGCGUUUACUGCAUCCCGCUGC
rnacentral:ncRNA from 1 species